ACACCGGGGAUUGCCUUAGUACGGCGAGUGAAGCGGCAAAAGCUCAAAUUUGAAAUCUGGUACCUUCGGUGCCCGAGUUGUAAUUUGGAGAGGGCAACUUUGGGGCCGUUCCUUGUCUAUGUUCCUUGGAACAGGACGUCAUAGAGGGUGAGAAUCCCGUGUGGCGAGGAGUGCGGUUCUUUGUAAAGUGCCUUCGAAGAGUCGAGUUGUUUGGGAAUGCAGCUCUAAGUGGGUGGUAAAUUCCAUCUAAAGCUAAAUAUUGGCGAGAGACCGAUAGCGAACAAGUACAGUGAUGGAAAGAUGAAAAGAACUUUGAAAAGAGAGUGAAAAAGUACGUGAAAUUGUUGAAAGGGAAGGGCAUUUGAUCAGACAUGGUGUUUUGUGCCCUCUGCUCCUUGUGGGUAGGGGAAUCUCGCAUUUCACUGGGCCAGCAUCAGUUUUGGUGGCAGGAUAAAUCCAUAGGAAUGUAGCUUGCCUCGGUAAGUAUUAUAGCCUGUGGGAAUACUGCCAGCUGGGACUGAGGACUGCGACGUAAGUCAAGGAUGCUGGCAUAAUGGUUAUAUGCCGCCCGUCUUGAAACACGGGACCA
rnacentral:rRNA from 1 species